UUGAUCCUGGCUCAGAAUCAACGCUGGCGGCGUGCCUAACACAUGCAAGUCGAACGAGAAAGUGGAGCAAUCCAUGAGUAAAGUGGCGACCGGGUGAGUUACACGUGACUAACCUACCUUCGAGUGGGGGAUAACCUCGGGAAACCGGGUCUAAUACCGCAUAAUGCCUUCGGGUUAAAGGAGCAAUUCGCUUGAAGAGUGGGUCGCGGCUGAUUAGCUAGUUGGCGGGGUAACGGCCCACCAAGGCGAUGAUCGGUAGCCGGCCUGAGAGGGCGCACGGCCACACUGGAACUGAAACAUGGUCCAGACUCCUACGGGAGGCAGCAGUGGGGAAUUUUGCGCAAUGGGGUAAACCCUGACGCAGCAACGCCGCGUGGAGGAUGAAGUCCCUUGGGACGUUAACUCCUUUCGACCGGGACGAUGAUGACGGUACCGGUGGAAGAAGCCCCUGCUAACUUCGUGCCAGCAGCCGCGGUAAUU
rnacentral:rRNA from 1 species